UCCUAUAAGACAGACCACAGUUCAAAUUCCAGCCCCAGAGGUAUGGAAGACAUACUGCAUGCAGAUUAUCUCAGUGCCUCUCCUUCCAGGAAGCCUUCCCUGACUGCCCCUGCUCCCAUUCAAGAGCCUGCACCAGUCCCCCAGCUGGAAUUGAACCAUUUAUCCUCCAAUUCUGCAGAGCGGUGUUUUAUAUUCAAGACAAGCAAGCAAAUAAACAA